GGUCACUAAACAACAAUAGUAAUGACAUCAUCUGUCCUCCAGGAGGAGGUAUGGGUCACUAAACAACAAUAGUAAUGACAUAAUCUGUCCUCCAGGAGGAGGUAUGGGUCACUAAACAACAAGGCCACAUGAGUUAAGUUACAGUCAUAAUAGUCAUUCUACAGAGUACAUAAAUAUUUUGUGUCUGAAUACAGAAUCAAACAGU